CCUACGGGCGGCAGCAGUGGGGAAUAUUGGGCAAUGGGCGCAAGCCUGACCCAGCAACGCCGCGUGAAGGAAGAAGGCUCUCGGGUUGUAAACUUCUUUUAUCAGGGACGAAGCAAGUGACGGUACAGGAUGAAUAAGCCACGGCUAACUACGUGCCAGCAGCCGCGGUAAUACGUAGGUGGAAAGCGUUAUCCGGAUUUACUGGGGGGAAAGGGAUUGUAGGCGGGAAAGCAAGUUAGAUGUGAAAACCAUGGGCUCAACCUGUGGCCUGCAUUUGAAACUGGUUGUCUUGAGUACAGGAGAGGAGGACGGAAUUCCUAGUGUAGCGGUGAAAUGCGUAGAGAUUAGGAGGAACACCAGUGGCGAAGGCGGUUUGCUGGACAGCAACUGACGCUGAGGCGCGAAAGCGUGGGGAGCAAACAGGAUUAGAUACCCGUGUAGUC
rnacentral:rRNA from 1 species